rnacentral:rRNA from 1 species
UACGAAGGGGGGCUAGCGUUGCUCGGAAUAACUGGGCGUAAAGGGCGCGUAGGCGGUUUUGUAAGCCAGAUGUGAAAGCCCCCGGGCUUAACCUGGGAAUGGCAUUUGGGACUGCAAGGCUUGAGUGCGGCAGAGGAGACUGGAAUUCCUGGUGUAGCGGUGAAAUGCGCAGAUAUCAGGAGGAACACCGAUGGCGAAGGCAGGUCUCUGGGCCACUACUGACGCUGAGAAGCGAAAGCAUGGGGAGCAAACAGG